AAGUCGUAACAAGGUCUCCGUUGGUGAACCAGCGGAGGGAUCAUUAGCGAGUUAAUUACAAACUCCAAACCCAUGUGAACAUACCUACUGUUGCCUCGGCAGGCCGUGCUGCGCGGCUGGAUCGCCUCCCCCGCGUGGGCAGCUACCCUGGAGUAGCUACCCUGUAGCGGGAGCGGCCCGCCCCGCGGCGCGCCAACAGGCCUGCCGAAGGACCCCUAAACUCUGUUUCGCACCUGUAUCUCUGAGUUUAUUAUACAAAUAAGUUAAAACUUUCAACAACGGAUCUCUUGGUUCUG
rnacentral:misc_RNA from 1 species